GGUUCAUCGGGUUUCGAUGACUCCACUGACUAAUUUCCACGUGAUGUGAUUAUAUGAAGGUAAUAGGUGGAAAGAAGAAUCCUGGAGUUCAAACGAACGAACGAGAUGUGGAUCGGUAGGAGUAAUAAUUUUUGAAUGUGUAAAUGCAAAGGAUAGCGAAUUAUGGAGUAGAGUUCCGCAAUUGUAUUCCAACGGGGUUGUAAAUGAAUAGAUAGAGUAUAGACAUUUAUUGUAUGGAUUGUACUUUGGAUAUUUUUGUAAAAUAAAUUAUUGGGCCUGACUCCACAAUUGUGAAUAGAAUGCGAGUUUUAAGUAA